CCCACAGAGCGGACACGCACCCUCUUACCGAGGUCAGCGGGGAAGGAAGGCGCCCCACCACCACGGUGGGCACAGGACAGGCGGACACACGUGUCCACAGGCGCCUCCAGUGGGUGGCUCAGCUCAGAAGGCCCCGAGGACACACACAAAUGAAGUGGUCGCUCACAGACCAGCAGUGAGGAGGGAGCCAGGCAGACAGCAGCCAGACAUGGAUACUCUCGGAUCUUGUGGCAAAACCACCCGUGACGGACUGCUCUGUGAUUAUGG